UAACCGUGGUAACGGGGCGCUUCUUCCCGCUGCUGGAGCGAUGGCGGAGCCGCAGGCCGCACCGGUUUCUUCAUUGCCAGUGGCUACAGAACCCCCAAAACCCCAUCCUAAAAAAGCACCAGAGUUACCAAUCCUAGAGAGGAAAAACUGGUUGAUCUAUCUGCUGUAUGUUCGCAGAGACUACGAUGAGUGUAAGGCUGUCAUCAAAGAGCAGCUCCAGGAGUCUCAUGGGCUGUGUGAAUAUGCAGUCUACGUUCAAGCUUUGAUAUUUCGCUUGGAGGGGAAAAUUCAAGAAUCUCUUGAACUUUUUCAGACAUGUUCCAUUCUGAACCCUCGAAGCGCUGACAACCUCAAGCAGGUGGCACGAUCUCUGUUUCUUUUGGGGAAGCACAAGGCAGCCAUUGAAGUGUACAACGAAGCAGCUAAACUUGAUGAAAAGGACUGGGAGAUCAGCCACAACCUGGGUGUGUGCUACAUGUACCUGAAACACUUCAACAAGGCACGAGACCAGCUAAACAAUGCCCUGGAGCUCAACAGACAUGAACUGACUUACAUGAUGCUGGGGAAAAUUCACCUAUUGGAGGGGGAGAUGGAUAAAGCCAUUGAAGUCUAUAAGAAAGCCGUAGAGUUUUCUCCAGAAAACACAGACCUUCUUACAACACUGGGGUUACUUUACUUGCAGCUUGGGGAUUACCAGAAGGCCUUUGAACACCUUGGAAACGCACUUACUUACGACCCAGGCAACUACAAGGCUACCUUGGCGGCUGGCAGCAUGAUGCAGGCCCAUGGAGAUUUUGAUGUUGCCCUCUCCAAAUACAGGGUGGUAGCCAGCUCCGUGCCUGAAAGCCCCCCGCUGUGGAACAACAUUGGGAUGUGCUUCUUCGGGAAGAAGAAAUAUGUAGCAGCUAUCAGUUGCCUGAAGCGGGCAAACUACUUGGCUCCCUUUGACUGGAAGAUUUUGUACAACUUGGGGUUAGUCCACCUCACAAUGCAGCAGUACGCAUCUGCUUUCCACUUCCUCAGUGCUGCCAUCAACUUCCAGCCCAAGAUGGGAGAGCUGUACAUGCUCCUUGCAGUUGCUCUGACAAACCUUGAAGACAUUGAGAAUGCAAAACGUUCCUAUGAGCAAGCUGUGGCACUGGACAAGUGCAACCCCCUCGUCAACCUGAACUAUGCUGUCCUGCUGUAUAACCAGGGUGACAAGAAGGGAGCCCUCUGCCAGUACCAGGAGAUGGAGAAGAAGGUCAACACAGUGAAGGAGAGCAGUACUCCUGACUUUGACCCUGAGAUGGUGGAGGUUGCUCAGAAGAUGGGAGCUGCUCUGCAGGUGGGGGAGAGCCUCGUCUGGACUAAGCCUUCUAAAGAGUCUAAAUCCAAGCAGAGAGCUGCUCUGUCAGGGAAGUCCUCCAGCACUCAGCAGCCUUUGGGCUCUAACCAGGCCCUGGGUCAAGCCAUGUCCUCAGCUGCAGGGUAUGGGAAAACCAUGCAGCUUCCCCCAGGUGCUGGAGCAUCAGCUCCGCUUGCAAAGCCUCCCUCGCUGCCUCUGGAACCAGAAUCGGGCUCAGAAAUGAGCCCCGAGGAGACCUCGGCACCAACAGGAGCUGAGGAGCAGAAGAAAGAAAAACACAAGAGCCAGCAGGCAGCAGACUAGAAUGGACUCUGGUCAGGACAGGCAGGUGCAGGAGCAUUCCUAGAGCUGCCUGAUGACCUGUGUGGAAAGGGACCUGCCUUCUCCCCUGUCCCAUGGUGGCUUCACCCCACUGUCAGUUAGUCUAAAUGCAGCUGUUUUCUGUUAAUGAUUUUAGCAUGUGGUCUCUACCUUGUCCCAAGGAGUCGUUGCAGCAAUCGGAAGAGGUUUUUGCAUAGCUACUGUUAGUGUGGUCACAGCUUACCACAAGGGACUGGAGGACGGAGAUCCAUCUCUCCACAGGGUUGGCAGUCUUCAGUGUUUCGGUGUAAGUCCUCCAGAAGGAUGCUGAGGCAUCCAGUAUGUUCAGAAGAGCCAGCAGUAGUGACUUAGCAUCCUGGACCCUAAAGAGGAUCAAACCCUUCCAGUGGCUGAAGUUGUAAGCAGCUGAGGAAGCCCUACACAGGCUGUAGUAAGGUCAGCGGUAAUACACUCGGAGAGGGGGUGAAGGUAGCGCAUCUCACCAGGGCAAGUGCAGAGCAGUAAGCCAGGCUCGGGGCUAGCACAGCCUGGCUUACUAUGAAACAGGGGCUCAUUCCCCGUUUCACAAGGGCAAGACUUUGUAAAUGCUUUCUCAAGGCUGAAGCAAGCAAGCUGAAACAGCUGGGAGCUGGUAUUCCUGAGCAGGGCAAUGUCAUGGUCACAGGGCAUGAGAAGCACUUUAAAGCCCACACUUCCCUUAGCAGUGGCAGUCGUGAAACAUGGAGGAGCUGCAUAGCAAAGCUGUCCUCUACUGCUGGGUUUUGUAUCAGUACAACUUCAGGGUAGCACUCCUGUAAGGUUUCCCCCCUCGUGGUAGAAGUUGAAGAAAACAGAGGCUCUUUUGCGGAACACUGGCAAAUUUAAACAAACCAGACACGAAGCAGUGUAAAUCAGGUACAGUGCAGCGAUUUUUUUUUUUUUUAUUCACAUUAAACUUUUUACAGUGAAAGUUACUGCAGCAUAACAGAGUGCCUGUGAAGAAGAGUGUAAGAUUGCAGAGCAAGGGUAGGCAGGGUAUGGGAACUCUUUACCUCACCCCCAAAACUUUAGCUCAAGACAGUUUUUUCCGAUAGCAAUUGACUGCUGCAAUCUUUUAGUCUUAUCACAAAGGCUUUCAUUUCAAGCCAUGGAAGCUCCAAUACAAGGAACAGUGACCGGAACAACGUGGUUACAGGUAGCUGAGCACCAGCAUUGCUAAUACAGGAAAAGUUUCCCUCCAGCUGCUUAUGACCCUAUGUUUUGUUUUUACUAGCGGCUUUCCCCUGCCUUCUGCUUGUUGUAAAAAAAGACUGUAGCAUUAUCAAACUCAUUUGCUAUAUUCAAUAGAUGGGAGCAGCCCUCGUCCCACUGCUGUUCUCAACUUACAGCCCACCAGAGACACAAGGAACAACGAUCUCUCUUCUCUCACCCCGUCCCACUGGUGCAACCCAUUACCUUUUUGGCUGUUAGGAUGCUUUUAUGGGGUAAAUGUUACAUGUUAGUACAUAGGGUAUACUACAUUUGGAGGUACUGUAAAGGUAUCUAGAAUAUAUAUUUUGGUGAAAAGCUUAUGCAGACGAUUAACCAAUUCUCCUUCUAAGAAAAGGAACAGCAGCACCUUGCUACUUUCUGGAUUUGAACAGAGCAGAAGGAAGCUUCAUGUCUAAGGAAGCAUUUUUAAAUAUGUAAUUACAGUUGGAUAAUAAAUAGAACUGCAAUUCCUUGUCCUCUCCCCUCUCCUCCCCCUGGGUAUUGUGAUAAUGGCAUUUGCAUACAGUAAA